rnacentral:tRNA from 2 species
GGCUUAAUGGUCUAGCGGUAUGAUUCUCGCUUUGGGUGCGAGAGGUCCCGGGUUCAAUCCCCGGUUGAGCCC